rfam:Plasmodium chabaudi chabaudi, WGS project CAAJ01000000 data, contig: PC_PH2539
UAUGCCUUAAAUAAAUGCUAAAUGCAAUCAUGAUAUGUAGCUAAUAUUAUGAGAGCAUAUUUAUAUAGGCUAAAUAAAUUUUUCUUAUCAGUGAUAAAACGGGUUAAAAGUUUUACGAAAAUUUUUGACCCACCUGACACUGGCACACCCACAUUACCUAU